AGGGUUUGAUCAUGGCUCAGAUUGAACGCUGGCGGCAGGCCUAACACAUGCAAGUCGAACGGUAACAGGAAGUGCUUGCACUUCGCUGACGAGUGGCGGACGGGUGAGUAAUGCUUGGGAACUUGCCUUUGCGAGGGGGAUAACAGUUGGAAACGACUGCUAAUACCGCAUAACGUCUACGGACCAAACGGGGCUUAGGCUCCGGCGCAAAGAGAGGCCCAAGUGAGAUUAGCUAGUUGGUAAGGUAAAGGCUUACCAAGGCAACGAUCUCUAGCUGUUCUGAGAGGAAGAUCAGCCACACUGGAACUGAGACACGGUCCAGACUCCUACGGGAGGCAGCAGUGGGGAAUAUUGCACAAUGGGGGAAACCCUGAUGCAGCCAUGCCGCGUGUGUGAAGAAGGCCUUCGGGUUGUAAAGCACUUUCAGUUGUGAGGAAAAGUUAGUAGUUAAUACCUGCUAGCCGUGACGUUAACAACAGAAGAAG
rnacentral:rRNA from 1 species